AAUUAAUCCUGGCAGUAGUGCUAAUUGCAAUAGAUUUACACCCUUUCACUGCAAUGUGGGAGGCAAAGGGAAAGCUGCUUAGCUGCAUCCUCAUGGAUGCACACUGACAUUUGCAGUCUGUUGCCAUGGUCGCCCUGGGACUUUUGUUUUGAAGUGGGAUUUUUUUUUUAUGCUUCUAUCAGAUGACGUCAUGGAUGUCCAUGGAUGUGACAGGCCACCUUUGGGUUGGAGGUUUAAAGAGACAGCCUCCAGCUGCAACACUAGCCCUGACUAUUGUCUGAGAUGCUGAUAUAAAGAUGGGGGGACAGUUCUUUCCCCAAGCUCAGUACCUAGGAAGCUCCCUUACUUAGCACUGCCUUGAUGUGAAGAGAGAGGGUAGCAUGUCACAGUUAAGCAGAUGUCAGCUUACAGCAGAACAUAUCUAUCUGCACCUCCUCUUAUCACUCAGUAUCAAGUCAAAUCCUCCUUUCUUUAAGAAAAUCCAAGGCAGCCAAUAGAAGAAGAUCACUGCUGGAAGGCAAAGCUGCAUUUCCAAACUUUAAAGAAGGACACACAAAAAAAGAUCCUAACCAAAGCUGUAAGAUUUUUCUAGGCUCAAAGCAAAGAAACUUCCCUGAGAGAAUCGGCUAGCAAGAUCCUGAUGAGAGAAAGAGGAGCCUAAAACAUUUUUUAAGAUUCACAGGUGCUCCAUGAGCUACAGAAAGACUAUAAGGCACAGCCACACAAUAUCCUGAUCAUGACUGAUGAAAAGAACGUUGGAAAUGUAUGGAUCAAGAACAAUUGUAUCCCUGGCACCAUUGGUGGCCUGCUCCUGUCAUGCAGUCAAUUUAGACAUCUAGAAACAUAGUAUGUAAACCUUUAAAUGCAAACACAUCAUAUAUAUUAUUAGGUAUACCCACUGUACAGCACUACACUCAAUAACAUUAUAAUAUUUAUGGAACAUCAGCAGAGACAUUCCUGCUGUUGAGGUGUAUAUUUCAAAGAUG